GAAAAACAUGAUCUUCCCCUUUAGUUUCAAAGAUUUCAACUUUUCCUUUCCACUGACUCUUCAUCAAAGAUUCAUAGUACAAUAUUCCUCUGUCUCUCAGUAUAUCCAAUUCUGCUACACAAACAAGAACUCUGUCACAAGCCAAUUCUUCAAGAUUUGGUGCUUCAUCAACAAAAGGAUUGAUCAAAGGAUCAUUAUUCCCUUUAUUUGAUGGACAAACAAAUUCCCACCAUUUAUCUACCAUUGAUUUUCUCAAUGAAUCUUUAAUCUCUAUCCCAAUU
rnacentral:misc_RNA from 1 species